ACACAUUAGAAGUUUUGGUCUGAUUAGAUGGCUGAUCUGGUGAAGAGUUCCACUGGAUUAGGACUCCAGUAAAGAGUCCCACUGGAUUGGGACUCUGGAGGAGAAUCCCACUGGACUGAGACUCUAUUAUUAAUGGAGAAUUUAUUAGCAAUUAGAUUACUAAUUGACUCAAUUUGAUUGAGCAAUGAGGUUCGAAUCAAGUUUAAUUGAAUUGAAUUCAGUUUGAUUUGGAUUAUGUUUGAUUAGAUCCAGCCUAAUUGUAAGAAAAACUUGUUCCUGAUUUGAUCAGGACUUGAAUUUAGUUAAUUCCUAAUUGAGUUAGAAAUUUAAUGAGAAGAUUGUGUUCCUAAUUAGAUUAGGUUCCUUCCUUUUAUUGGGUCUAAACCAAAUCAGAUUUGGAUUGAAUCAAAAUUAGAAAACUGAAGAGUCCCAAUCAAUUGGGAUUCUCUCCCUUGCGCAUGCCCUAGAAUCAAUGCCAUACAUAAGACGCAAAAGGAGUUUGCAUGAGGGAUUUUUUGGCAUGAGAAAAGAGGGUGCAGAGAUAGUGUGGGUGGCACUCAUGAUGAGUCAUGAAUCUUAUCUCCUUCCUCAUUUGAAUUUGAUUCAAAUCAUAGAUAAGAAAAUAAGAAAGAAAGAAAUCAAGUUUCAUGGGAA
rnacentral:lncRNA from 1 species